AGUCUGGAAACCUCUCUGGUCUGUGCUUGACUCCAGGCCAUGGCACUGGCAGAGUUGAUGGAGCUUCUCAGCUGGAUCCUGGUUAUGAGCCUUGGGCUGUCCCAGAGGUGACUGAGGAAGAAGGAGAUCACAACAUGCCAUGGAAGCUCCUCCCCCGUGUUUGACUCCCUGUUUGGUUCCUGCAGUCCAUGGUGAUCAAGCCUCUUGGUGUAAUCCUGUUCCUGAGCCUGGGGGCAAUCCCAGGGGUGGAGGAUGGGCAAGCGGCUGGGGCUACAGAAGAGAAAGGGAGGACAGAAACACAGAGACAGAGUUGCCUGAACUCCACAACUUGCCUGGCAGUGCAGAGAGCGGGAACUGUG